rnacentral:siRNA from 1 species
UCUUAAGUGGAUUAGUUGGUC